CCCUUAGAUGUCCUGGGCCGCACGCGCGUUACACUGAUGCAUUCAACGAGCUUAUAACCUUGGCCGAGAGGCCUGGGCAAUCUUGUUAACGUGCAUCGUGAUGGGGAUAGAUUAUUGAAAUUAUUAAUCUUGAACGAGGAAUUCCUAGUAAACGCAGAUCAUCAAUCUGCAUUGAUUACGUCCCUGCCCUUUGUACGCACCGCCCGUCGCACCUACCGAUUGGAUGGUCCGGUGAAGCCUCGGGAUUGUGGUUCUUGCCGCUUUAUUGUGGCGUGACCGCGAGAACUUGUCUAAACCUUAUCAUCUAGAGGAAGGUGAAGUCGUAACA
rnacentral:rRNA from 1 species